rnacentral:rRNA from 1 species
GACGUAGGGCGCGAGCGUUUGUCCGGAUUUAUUGGGCGUAAAGAGCUCGUAGGCGGCUCGUUGCGUCGGCUGUGAAAACCCGCGGCUCAACCGUGGGCUUGCAGCUGAUACGGGCGGGCUGGAGUUCGGUAGGGGAGAGUGGAAUUCCCGGUGUAGCGGUGAAAUGCGCAGAUAUCAGGAGGGAACACCGGUGGCGAAGGCGGGUCUC